rnacentral:rRNA from 1 species
UACGGAGGGUGCAAGCGUUAACCGGAAUUACUGGGCGUAAAGCGUGCGUAGGUGGUUCGUUAAGUCCGUUGUGAAAGCCCCGAGCUCAACUUGGGAAUUGCAGUGGAUACUGGCGAGCUGGAGUGCGGUAGAGGAAGGUGGAAUUCCCGGUGUAGCGGUGAAAUGCGUAGAGAUGCGGAGGAACACCGAUGGCGAAGGCAGCCCCCUGGGCUAACACUGACGCUCAGGCACGAAAGCGUGGGGAGCAAACAGG